rnacentral:rRNA from 1 species
AGCGAACGCUGGCGGCAGGCUUAACACAUGCAAGUCGAACGGUCCUUCGGGAUAGUGGCGGACGGGUGAGUAACACGUGGGAACGUACCCUUAGGUUCGGAACAACACAGGGAAACUUGUGCUAAUACCGGAUAAGCCCUUCGGGGGAAAGAUUUAUCGCCUUUGGAGCGGCCCGCAUCUGAUUAGGUUGUUGGUGAGGUAAUGGCUCAGCAAGGCUACGAUCAGUAGCUGGUCUGAGAGGAUGGCCAGCCACACUGGGACUGAGACACGGCCCAGACUCCUACGGGAGGCAGCAGUGGGGAAUCUUGCGCAAUGGGCGAAAGCCUGACGCAGCCAUGCCGCGUGGAUGAUGAAGGUCUUAGGAUUGUAAAAUCCUUUCACCGGGGACGAUAAUGACGGUACCCGGAGAAGAAGCCCCGGCUAACUUCGUGCCAGCCGCCGCGGUAA